UGUCUCUAUAGUGAAGUGGAUAUCACGCUGACCUCCUAAGUCAGAAGCCCAUGUUCGAGUCAUGGUAGGGACGU
rnacentral:tRNA from 1 species